rnacentral:rRNA from 1 species
GAUGAACGCUGGCGGCGUGCCUAAUACAUGCAAGUCGAGCGAACGGACGAGAAGCUUGCUUCUCUGAUGUUAGCGGCGGACGGGUGAGUAACACGUGGAUAACCUACCUAUAAGACUGGGAUAACUUCGGGAAACCGGAGCUAAUACCGGAUGAUAUUUUGAACCGCAUGGUUCAAAAGUGAAAGACGGUCUUGCUGUCACUUAUAGAUGGAUCCGCGCUGCAUUAGCUAGUUGGUAAGGUAACGGCUUACCAAGGCAACGAUGCAUAGCCGACCUGAGAGGGUGAUCGGCGACACUGGAACUGAGACACGGUCCAGACUCCUACGGGAGGCAGCAGUAGGGAAUCUUCCGCAAUGGGCGAAAGCCUGACGGAGCAACGCCGCGUGAGUGAUGAAGGUCUUCGGAUCGUAAAACUCUGUUAUUAGGGAAGAACAGAUGUGUAAGUAACUGUGCACAGCGUGACGGUACCUAAUCAGAAAGCCACGGCUAACUACGUG